rnacentral:rRNA from 1 species
UACGUAGGUGGCAAGCGUUGUCCGGAAUUACUGGGUGUAAAGGGAGUGUAGGCGGGACUGCAAGUCAGGUGUGAAAUCUAUGGGCUCAACCCAUAGCGUGCACUUGAAACUGUGGUUCUUGAGUGAGGCAGAGGCAAGCGGAAUUCCUAGUGUAGCGGUGAAAUGCGUAGAUAUUAGGAGGAACACCAGUGGCGAAGGCGGCUUGCUGGGCCUUUACUGACGCUGAUGCUCGAAAGCGUGGGUAGCAAACAGG